rnacentral:rRNA from 1 species
CCAUAUAUUCCCGUACCCGCUUCAAUGCGCCCAUAUCGAACCUCGUGAUGCUAAGAGUCCUUAAGUCCUCUGAUGUCCUUCGGGACUAGGGGUGAGGCUGAACGCUCGAUCCGAUCGGGUAGUAGGUAAGCGAUGGGGUGACGCAGGAAGGUAGUCCAGCCCAGGCGAUGGUUGUCCUGGGGUAAGCAUGUAGGGCGGAACGUAGGUAAAUCCGCGUUCUAUUCAGCCUGAGAUGUGAUGCCGAGCCGAUUGUGGUGAAGUGGAUGAUCCUAUGCUGCCGAGAAAAGCCUCUAGUGAGUGUUGUGGCGGCCCGUACCCUAAACCGACUCAGGUGGUCAGGUAGAGAAUACCAAGGCGAUCGGGUGAACUGUGGUUAAGGAACUCGGCAAAUUGCCCCCGUAACUUCGGGAGAAGGGGGACCUCUGCUGGUGAUGGGCUUUACGUUCUGAGCUGGUGGGGGUCGCAGUGGCCAGGGGGAAGCGACUGUUUACUAAAAACACAGGUCCGUGCGAAGUCGUAAGACGAUGUAUACGGACUGACGCCUGCCCGGUGCCGGAACGUUAAGGGGACCGCUUAGCCAACGCGAGUUGGCGAAGGUGAGAACUUAAGCGCCGGUAAACGGCGGUGGUAACUAUAACCAUCCUAAGGUAGCGAAAUUCCUUGUCGGGUAAGUUCCGACCUGCACGAAUGGCGUAACGACUUCCCCGCUGUCUCAACCACAGACCCGGCGAAAUUGCACUACGAGUAAAGAUGCUCGUUUCGCGCAGCAGGACGGAAAGACCCCGGGACCUUCACUACAGCUUGACAUUGGCGUUUGGAACGUCUUGUGUAGGAUAGGUGGGAGACUGGGAAGCUGUCACGCUAGUGAUGGUGGAGUCAUUGGUGAAAUACCACUCUGGUCGUUUUGAACGUCUAACUCUGGUCCGUGAUCCGGAUCGGGGACAGUGUCUGGUGGGUAGUUUAACUGGGGCGGUUGCCUCCUAAAGAGUAACGGAGGCGCCCAAAGGUUCCCUCAGCCUGGUUGGCAAUCAGGUGUUGAGUGUAAGUGCACAAGGGAGCUUGACUGUGAGACUGACAGGUCGAGCAGGAGCGAAAGCUGGGACUAGUGAUCCGGCAUCGGCGUGUGGAAGCGGUGUCGCUCAACGGCUAAAAGGUACCCCGGGGAUAACAGGCUGAUCUUCCCCAAGAGUCCAUAUCGACGGGAUGGUUUGGCACCUCGAUGUCGGCUCGUCGCAUCCUGGGGCUGGAGUAGGUCCCAAGGGUUGGGCUGUUCGCCCAUUAAAGCGGUACGCGAGCUGGGUUUAGAACGUCGCGAGACAGUUCGGUCCCUAUCCGCUGCGCGCGCAGGAGACUUGAAGGGGGCUGUCCCUAGUACGAGAGGACCGGGACGGACGAACCUCUGGUGUGCCAGUUGUACCGCCAGGUGCACGGCUGGUUGGCUACGUUCGGAAGGGAUAACCGCUGAAAGCAUCUAAGCGGGAAGCUCGCCUUGAGAUGAGGUCUCCCACCCUGUGAGGGGGUAAGGCUCCCGGUAGAUCACCGGGUUGAUAGGCCGGAGGUGGAAGCACGGUAACGUGUGGAGCUGACCGGUACUAAUAGGCCGAGGACUUGACCAC